rnacentral:rRNA from 1 species
AUUGAACGCUGGCGGCAUGCCUUACACAUGCAAGUCGAACGGCAGCGGGGGAGAAGCUUGCUUUUCCUGCCGGCGAGUGGCGAACGGGUGAGUAAUACAUCGGAACGUGCCCUGUAGUGGGGGAUAACUAGUCGAAAGAUUAGCUAAUACCGCAUACGACCUGAGGGUGAAAGUGGGGGACCGCAAGGCCUCAUGCUAUAGGAGCGGCCGAUGUCUGAUUAGCUAGUUGGUGGGGUAAAGGCCUACCAAGGCGACGAUCAGUAGCUGGUCUGAGAGGACGAGCAGCCACGCUGGGACUGAGACACGGCCCAGACUCCGACGGGAGGCAGCAGUGGGGAAUUUUGGACAAUGGGCGAAAGCCUGAUCCAGCAAUGCCGCGUGUGUGAAGAAGGCCUUCGGGUUGUAAAGCACUUUUGUCCGGAAAGAAAUGGCUCUGGUUAAUACCUGGGGUCGAUGACGGUACCGGAAGAAUAAGGACCGGCUAACUACGUGCCAGCAGCCGCCGUAAUAC